rnacentral:tRNA from 1 species
CGCGAACGGGCUUCGCGGAGCUGGGAUAUGGGGUCUUCGGAAGGCUUCACGGGGCCCACGGUUCCAUGUCCGUGACGCGCGA